rnacentral:tRNA from 1 species
GCUCGGUUGGUGUAGUCCGGCCAAUCAUGCGGGCCUUUCGAGCCUGCGACAGGGGUUCAAAUCCCCUACCGAGCA